rnacentral:rRNA from 1 species
UCAGAUCACUUGCCGCAGUAUUCUGACUGUGCUAAGGUAGCAUAAUCAUUUGUUACUUAAUUGGUAACUGGCAUGAAGGGUCUGACAGGAAUAACCUUUCUAAUUGUUAAGAAUUAAAUUCAUACCAAAGUAAAAAAGCUUUGCUCUUUCAAAAAGACGAUAAGACCCUAGAACCUUAUUGAAAAUUUUAUUGGGGCGAUAUAUCUAUAAACAAAAUAAAAUUUUAACCCUAUGAGAGAUUCCUCCUAACUUUUUAAAACAUUACCCAAGGUACUCUAGGGAUAACAGCAUAAUCUUUCUUUAGAGACCUUAUCGACAGAAAGGAUUUUGACCUCGAUGUUGAAUUGAGU